rnacentral:lncRNA from 1 species
UUCAUCUUAAACACAAUCAUAUAAGAAGAUUAUUGGAGGUUGGUAUAGUAUCAUUUCAAUAUGUGUAGUUUAGACUCAAUUUAGCAGAUCCUUUGUCUAAAGAGUUAGGUAAGAAAUUAGUAAUGGGUUGAGAAUAAAGCCUAUUGAUUGAUUGAUUGUACUUUAUGAUAAUCCUACCUAAUGAUACAAUCUUGGGUUCAAAGAGAAAAACAAGUAAAGUUACAAUUGUGAAGCACAUCAACAAAAUUCCCUUUUUUCCUAGAAAGUGAGUAGAUGUACAUAAGUUGAGAUUCUUUUCUCUUGAUAAAUCUAUAAGACGGAUCUCAUUUGGAAUAAAUAAUAAGACUCUUGAUAGAUUCGACAAUAUUCCUACAAAAGAUAAGAAUGAUAUUAUAUUCUCUUAAUAAGUCUAUGCACCGAUUUUGAUUGGAGUGUCUAGGAACACUCUUGGUAGAUUUACUAAUACUUUUUCAUAAAGAAGGAUGUGAUUAAUUUCUCUUAAUAAAAUUCAUAGACUAUUUGAUCGGAGUAUGUAAAGUUUGUCUUAAUGAAUUCACCGCACUAAGUGCAAAGUGGAGGCCACUCCAAUAAGAUUUUGACAGAGAAAUCUUAAAGCACUAAGCUAAAGGAUUCAGGACACAUGACAUAAGGUAUCAAAGAAUUUUUAUUUUCACCGAAAUAUAGUAAUAUGCAUGGAGGUAUUUUCUACUUCAUUCAAUGAACUACUUAGGUCAUGAUUUUUUUACUAAAUAGUCAAUGAUUUAGAAUGUCUUCACUACCUAAUGGUUCAAGUCCAAAAUACAACAUUAUUGAUGCAUGUUGCUAGAUUAAUAUCUCAAUUGAAUUUUAUUUUUUAAACAUAAAAUUUCUUGAAACAAGUGGGAGAUUGUUAUUGUUAAAGUUUAUGUUUCAAUCAUUUUUGAAAUAAAUACAAAGUUUAGAACUCUUUUGAGUUAUGUUUCAAUUAGUUUUGAAACUGUAACACCCCGCAUCGUCCAUGAGUUAGCUUGUGGUAAUAUGCUCUUAGAGUUAAAGACUAGAAAAUUAUUUUUUCCGAAUUUUGACUUUUCUUCACAUAGGAAAUUUGAUAAGUUUUUCACCAAUUUAAUAUUCUCCCAAAUCCGAUACCUGGGAAAUAAAUUAUGGUUAAUUUAAGUCCUGGUCAAAAAACAGCGCCAUUUUAGUGCAUGGCACGUCGCGGAGGGGGUCUAUUUAACAAUCGUCAAAUUCCAGUAGCCUAUCACAAUUAUGGUGUGUCGCGCUGAAGUUCCAGAUCCUAACCAGUGGGACAACGCGAUGGCUCCACAUCGCGGUGACCUUAAGAAUCUCAUUCGUCAAUUUCUAGUGAGCCAUCGCAAUUGAGGCGCAACACGGUGGCCCAAAAAAUUGGGCUCCCAGUUAUAUUUUAUUCCAUCUCAUUAAGGGUAUAUGAGGUAUUUCCCCCCUCCCAUUGUCAGCUUAAACACGGGAUUAUGCUCCUUGGUGACCAUAUUAUUCAUACUUUCUUCAAAAUUCACAAGAACACUCUCUAGGGUUUCAAACUAAAAACCCAAUUAACUCAAGAUUCAACUGUGGGUGUUCGAAACUGAGUUAAGAUUUGGAAUCCCCAAACUGUAGGCUUCAAGAAUCAUCCAUCAAAUUUCUAACUUGAGGUACGUGGGAUUUAUCCUAAAAACUACAUAGGCUUGCAAACACUAGAUCAUGAUUUAAAGAUUAUCAAGCAUGAAUUUUAAAGGGGGUUUUCGAAUCUAUGUUUUAAUUAUGCAUCAUAAAUGUUUUGAUGAUAUUAUUGAUUUGGCCUUUAGGUAUUUCCCCCUUGAAUUAAUUUACAAGUAUAUGUAUAUGUAUGAAAACUGAGAUUGAAGAUUGUUUGAGAGCACAUAUUAUUAAACCCCUCUUGUAUGCUGAAUUAAAGAUUAUGGUUUUGUUGGAAAAGGGUUGAAAUGCAUGCCUUGUGAUUUGAAAGUAGUUUUAUCAAUGUCAUAGCAAUUGAAACAUGAUUUAGAAAUAAUAAGAGGGUGUUUCUUGAUGCUAAUAUGAUGUUCUUGUGUUAAAGAGAAAGAAAUGCAUGUAAUUGAGAAGUUUGACAUGACCACCUUGAAUUCUUGAAAUGUUGAUAAAGAGAGUUUCCUUGCAUAUGUUUACAUGAGUUUUAAAGAAUGAGUUUCUUGAAAACAAUUGUUGAUAUCGUGGUCCUAAAUUCCAUGUUUUGAGAACAGAUAUAUAAUUUCCUAUAAAUGGCUUAGAGAAUGUAACUUGCAAGUCAAUGGUAUGACGAUACCAUAUAAAUGUAUGCCAUAACAUAGUUAGAGUUUUCAGAGUAUGUUUUCAGAGAAUACAUGUAUUAAAGAGUUAAAAAUAGGCAUAAAGAGAGCUAGGUAGUUGCCUGAAGAGGGUUUGAGUUCAAGUAACUCUUAAUCUAAAAUCGUGAUUUGCCGAUCCAGGUAUAUUAUUUUACGCUGGCGACGGUCGUGUGGCAUAGAGUUAGAGACUCUAACCCUUGCGGCACACUAGGGUUCGAGGCUUCCCCCACCGAGUCAAUGAAGAGUUCCAUAUAGCCUGUGGAAUUUCAGACUUGUAGGGUACACCACCUAGCGCAGAAGUAAAACAAAGAAUGUCAUAGAUUUCAGAUGAUUUUACAGAGUCUUUAAAAAAUGCCCAUGAGAUUACUUACUAUAUGAUAUGUUUAUGAAAUAUUUUAAAUUUCUCUCAUAUAUGUUCAAUAUAAAUUAUUAUUUUGGAUUUGCUCUACGUACCAGUACAAUUGUAUUGACUCCCUACCUCUCAGGUUUAGAAGUUUAGUCUAGGGGUCUAGCUAAUCAGUAGAGUAUCCAGGGAGAGUUGAUCCAUGCAGUGAUGAGCCUUCUUUGUUCAAGAAGGCCUGUGAUUUUAGACUAUGUUAUUCCUUUGUUUUUAUCUAGGGGCCUUGUCCCAGCUUUUUAGACAAUUAUCUUAAGAUCAUGUAGUAGAGAUUUUGCAGACUGUUCUAGAAGUUGUUUAGUUGAUUUCAGAUUUUAUUUCGUAUGGUUAAACUAAAUCCAGAGUAUGACCAUUUUUCUGUAUUAGAUUAUAAUUCCAUAUUUUCUUUUAUUAUUUAAAUGCUAUGCAUGAUUUCCAGAUCAGAUAGAGUAGGACGUCUGGGCAUUCAUGGUUCAAGAUAUCCGUCAUGGCCAGGCCCUAGUUCGUGUCGUGACAAACUUGGUAUUAGAGCACGAUUCAUCGUCCUAGGGUGUCUGCAAAAUCACAUUGGGUAGAAUCUUGUUUAUGGGUGUGUAGCAAAAUCGCACAGUUCAUGACAAUCAUGCCUCCCUAUCGUACUACUGAUCAGAAUUCACAAACAGAUGAGGUCCGUACCACUCAUUGGAUUAGGACCCAAAACAGAGCUUAGACUCCAGAGAUUAAUGAUACUCCAGAAGUCCCACCUACUCAGACCAGCCCACCUAGGGCACCAGAGCUUCUCGAAUAGGGACUAACUCACUCAGCCUCGUAAGAGAGAGAUAUCUAAUGCAUAAUUUAGUCAAUCCAUUUACAUGCUUGCACAAUUGGUAGCCACAAAGACUCAACGGUUGGAAGAUAUUGGGUCUACAUUUGCAUGUCUGAGUCUACAAGAGUGGUCUAGUUUAUGAGAAUGAACCCGCCCAAGUUUACUGGUACCAAGGUUGAAGAGGAUCCACAGGAGUUUAUGGACGAGAUGGAGAAGAUCUUUAAGGUGAUCCAUUUAGAUGAGGUAGAGCAGGUUAAGUUAGCAGCUUACCAACUUAAGGAUGUAGAGAACCAAUGGUAUAACAAGUGGGAAGAUUCAAAGGGUAAGAGUGCUGAGCCCACAGUUUGGGCCGAGUUCGUGGAAGCCUUCCUUGAUCGAUUCUUUCUUCUCGAGCUGAGAGAGGCCAAAGUUGAAGAGUUUAUAAAUCUAAAGCAAGGAAAGAUGAGUGUCCAAGAGUAUAUUCUGAGGUUCAACCAACUAGCCCGUUAUGCUCCAGAGAUGACUAGUAAUAUGAGAGCCCAAAUGAGGAAAUUUACAUCCGGCCUUUCAGAUGACUUAGUUCUUGAAUGUCAGAGACCAAUGUUGAACUGGGACAUGGAUUUUGCCAGACUAUCAGUCGACAUAUAGUAAGUUGAGGAAAAGAAAAAGAAAAUCACUGAAUCUAGAGAGAAGGAUUGGCAGGCAAAGAGAGACAAGAUGGAAGACCAGAGCCACAGUCAGUAGCAGAGUGGGAAUUGGGGUAACAAAUGGCAGAAGAAGAAGUUUUAGGGUAAUGCAUAGUCUGCAGCUAGUGCUAUGGUGUCCAGACCCCUAGUUGGACAGCACCUCCAAGAUUUUUAGUCCAGGCAAGGGUCGAGAAUGCAGGGUUCACAAUCUUAAGAAAGUGUAGCUCAAACCUCUCGAACAUACCCACACUGUGAGAAAUGUGGGAGAAAUCAUCCAGGUAGGUAUCAGUUUGGUGCUAUGGUGUGUUAUUUGUGUGGCCAACCAUUCCAUAUCCGGAGAGAUUGUCUGGCAGCAAAGGGUAAUAUUGGCGGAGCCAAGUUACAUGCUAAUUCUUCUGCACCACCACCACCUCAGAAGGGUGACACUUCAACCGUGGGAAGUGGCCGCAACCAGUUGUACACCUUACCCAACCGCCAAGAGGUAGAGGCCUCACCGGAUGUAGUUACUGGCACGUUGCAGAUCUUUUUUCGUGAUGUAUAUGUGCUACUUGAUCUCGAUUCUACCCUAUCUUACAUGACACCUUAUGUGGCUGUUAGUUUUAGGUUCGAUCCCGAUGUGAUUGUCAAACUUUUUUCUGUUUCUAAUUCGGUGGGAGAUUUUAUUGUGGCUAGGAGGGUGUAUAGAAAUUGUGUGGUAACUUUUUGUAGGCGGGAUAUUGUGGAAGGCCUCAUAGACUUAGACAUGGUUGAUUUUGAUGCUAUCCUAGGGAUGGACUGGCUCUAUUCGUGUUAUGCCACGUUAGAUUGUAGAACCCAAAAGGUUACUUUUUCCUUCCCGAAUCAACUAGUAAUAGAAUGGGAGGGACAUUCCUUAGCACCUAGAGAGAACUUUAUAUCUUACCUCAGAGCCCGUAAACUUAUUUCUACGGGCUGCUUAUAUCAUCUUAUUCUGGUUAAAGAUUCGAAUACCAAAAGCCUUUCUCUUCAGUCUGCCCUAUGGUGAAUGAGUUCCCAAGAGUUUUUCCUGAUGAUCUCCUAGGCAUACCACCUGAUAGGGAGAUAGAUUUUGGUAUUGAUUUGUUGCUUGAUACCCAUCCCAUCUCUUUUCUACCAUAUAGAAUGGCUCCUGCAGAACUGAAAGAGUUGAAAGAACAGCUAGCAAAUCUUCUAGAGAAAUAUUUUAUCUGUCUUAGUAUUUCUCCCUAGGUUGCACCUAUACUCUUCAUGCGAAAGAAAGAUGGUUCCCUUCGUAUGUGCAUAGAUUAUCGCCAGUUAAACAAGGUCACUAUUAAAAAUAAAUAUCCUCUUCCUAGAAUUGAUGAUCUUUUUGACCAUCUUUAAGGUGCUAGAUGUUUUUCAAAGAUAGACCUUCAUUUGAAAUACCAUCAGUUGAAAUUUAGAGAGUUAGACAUUCCCAAAACAGCUUUCCAAACCAAAUACGAUCAUUAUGAAUUCUUAGUUAUGUCCUUCGGGUUGACUAACGCCCCUGCAGCCUUUAUGGAUCUUAUGAACAGGGUGUUCCAUCAGUUUCUGGAUUUAUUUGUCAUAUUUUUUAUUGAAGAUAUCUUGAUUUAUUCUAAGAGUGAGGAAGAUCAUGUCAAUCACCUUCAAAUCAUCCUCCAGACUUUCAAAGAUCAUAGGUUUUAUGCAAAGUUUUCCAAGUGUGAAUUCUGGCUUAAUGAUAUUGCUUUCUUGGGGCAUAUUGUGUCUAGUGACGGGACUAAGAUUGAUCCCCAAAAGGUUGAGGCAAUGGGAAAAUGGCCCAGACCCAUGACUCCAACCGACAUUCAAAGCUUCUUGGGUUUGGUGGGGUAUUACAGAAGGUUCAUAGAGAGUUUCUUAUCCAUAGCUGCACCACUCACUAAGUUGACAUAUAAAAAGUUAAAGUUUAUGUGGUCUGACUCCUGUGAGAAUAGUUUUGAGAAAUUGAAAGACAAGUUUACCACUACACCUAUUUUGACUCUUUCAGAAGGUAUAGAGGUUUUUGUUGUGUAUUGUGAUGUGUUCCGAGUGGGACUUAAGUGUGUACUUAUGCAGCACGGUAAAGUGAUGGCUUAUGUGUCUAGGUAGUUAAAAGUGCAUGAGAGAAAUUACCCCACCCAUGACUUGAAGUUAGCAGUUGUGGUGUUUACGCUUAAAAUCUGGUAGCAUUAUCUCUGUUAGGUAUAUGUUGAUAUAUUUAUUGACCAUAAGAGUUUACAAUAUAUUUUCUUGCAGACAGAAUUAAACCUCAAGCAAUGACAAUGGUAGGAGCUUUCGAAGGAUUAUGACAUAAGCCUGCACUACCAUCCGGGGAAGGCAAAUAUAGUAGCCGACGCCCUCAGAAGGCUAUAUAUGGGUAGCCUUUCAUACCUUAAAAAGGGGAAGAGGGAGAUGGUAAAGGAUAUUCACCAGCUUGCAAAUCUAGGAGUACGACUCUUGGAUUCCAAAGAUGGGGGAGUGGUUGUUCAUGAGGUAGAUAAGUCUUCCCUUUGUGCUGAAGUUAAAGAAAAGCAUAUUGAAGAUCCCAUCUUGAUGCAGAUCAAGAAAGAUGUAGGUUAACAGAAGGUGGUGUCUUUUGAAAUUGGUGGUGAUGGAAUUUUGAGAUAUCAGGGUAGACUAUAUGUGCCAGAUGUUGAUAGGUUACGAAAGAGGAUCCUUGAUGAAGCUCACACGUUGAGGUAUGUUGCUCACCCAGGCUCUACUAAGAUGUAUCAUAAUCUGAAAACCAUAUACUGGUGGAAUAAUAUGAAGUGUGAUGUGGCUAACUUUUUUGCCAAGUGUUUGAAUUGUCAAUAAAUGAAAGUAGAGCAUAUGAGGCCAGAUGGUACCUCCCAAGAGAUAUCUUUUCCCUUAUGGAAGUGAGAGAUGGUUAAUAUGGACUUUAUCAUGGGACUUCUGAGGUCCUAAAACUAGUAUAAUUCUAUUUGGGUAAUUGUAGACCGGCUGACCAAGUUAGCCCACUUUCUUCCUGUGAGAACCAACUAUUCGGGAGAUGACUAUGCCAAGUUAUACAUCGAGGAGAUAGUUCGUUUGCAUAGAGCACCUGUAUCCAUCAUAUCUGACAGAGGUACGCAAUUCUCUUCAUAGUUCUGGAGAUCUUUUCAAAGGGGUUUAUGUACCUAAUUGAACCUGAGUACGACUUUCCACCCUUAGAAGGAUGGGCAAGCCAAACGUACUAUUCAGACCCUUGAAGAUAUAUUGAGAGCUUGUGUGAUUGACUUCAAAGGUAGUUUGGUAGAUCAUUUUCCAUUGAUAGAGUUUGCUUAUAAUAACAGCUACUAUACUAGUAUUAAGAUGGCUCCAUUUGAAGCUUUGUAUGGAAAAAGAUAUAGAUCACCAAUAGGGUGGUAUGAAGUGGAUGAGACUCAGUUGUUUGGGCCUAAUCUUGUUCAUCAGGCGAUGGAGGAUGUGAAAAUUAUUAGAAAAUGACUUAAAACAUCCUAGAGUAGACAGAAAUCCUAUGUCGAUGUUCAGAGAAGGGAGCUAUAAUUUGAAGUUGGUGAUUGGGUAUUUCUCAAAGUCUCCCCUAUGAAGGGAGUUAUGCGAUUCGGGAAGAAAGGUAAGCUAAGUCCUUGCUAUAUAGGGCCAUACCAGAUUUUGAGAAGGAUAGGUGGAGUUGCAUAUGAGUUAGAGUUGCCUACAAGUUUGGGUUUUGUUCAUCCGAUAUUUCACAUAUCCAUGUUGAAAAAAUAUAUUGGAGACAAUUCAUUAGUGUUGCCUGUAGAGGAGGUUAAAGUGAUAGACUCUUUAUCCUAUGAAGAGAAUCCUAUCGCAAUAUUAGAUCAUCAAGUUAGAAAGUUGAGGAGAAAGGAGAUAACUUUGGUUAAAGUGUUGUGGAAAAAUCAGAAAGUAGAGGAAGCAACUUGGGAAUCAGAAGAGGACAUGAGAGAUAUAUACCCAGACUUAUUUGAUCCGGUUAAUGACGAAAUGGAAGGUACAAUCCUUGUCUUAUUCUUUUAUGGCCUUAGUAUGUUUGAAAUCAUGAUUUUCUGUGUUCUGCGUCAUCAUUCGGGGACGAAUAAUCUCCAGGGGGGAUAAUGUAACACCCCGCAUCAUCCAUGAGUUAGCUCGUGAUAAUAUACUCUUAGAGUUAAAGACUGGGAAAUUAUUUUUUCCUAAUUUCAACUUUUCUUCACAUAGGAAAUUUGAUAAGCUUUUCGCCGAUUUAAGAUUCGCCCAAAUCCGAUACCCGGGCAAGAAAUUAUGGCUAAUUUAAGUCCUAGUCAAAAAACACCAUUAUUUUUGUGCUUGGCACAUCGCGGAGGGGGUCUAUUUAACAAUUGGGAAAUUUCAGUAGCCUAGUACAAUUUUAGCGCGUCGUGCUAAAGUUCCAGACCCAACAAGUGGGACAACGCGAUGGCUCCGCAUCGCGGUGACCCUAAGAAUACCAUUCGCAAUAAGUGGGACAACGCGAUGGCUCCGCAUCGCGGUGACCCUAAGAAUACCAUUCGCAAUAAGUGGGACAACGCGAUGGCUCCGCAUCGCGGUGACCCUAAGAAUACCAUUCGCAAUAAGUGGGACAACGCGAUGGCUCCGCAUCGCGGUGACCCUAAGAAUACCAUUCGCAAUAAGUGGGACAACGCGAUGGCUCCGCAUCGCGGUGACCCUAAGAAUACCAUUCGCAAUAAGUGGGACAACGCGAUGGCUCCGCAUCGCAAGUGACCACAUUAUUUAUACUUUCUUCAAAAUUCACAAGAACACUCUCUAAGAUUUCAAACUAAAAAUCCAAUUAACUCAAGAUUCAACCGUGGGUGUUCAAAACUGAGUGAAGAUUUGGAAUUCCCAAAUCAUAGGCUUUAAAAUCAUCUAUCAAAUUUCUAAAUUUAGGUACGUGGGGUUUAUCCUAAAAACUGCAUGGGCUUGUAAACACUAGAUCAUGAUUUAAAGAUUAUCAAGCAUGAAUUUUAAAGGUGUUUUUGGAAUCUAUGUUUUAAUUAUGCAUUAUAAAUGUUUUUAUGAUAUUGUUGAUUCGGCCUUGAGGUCUUUCCCCUUUGAAUUGAUUUACAAGUAUAUGUAUAUGUAUGAAAACUGAGGUUGAAGAUUGUUUGAGAGCACAUAUUAUGAAACCCCUCUCGUAUGUUGAAUUAAAGAUUAUGGUUUUGUCGGAAAAGAGUUGAAAUGCAUGCCUUGUAAUUUGAAAGUAGUCUUCUAGUGUCAUAGCAAUUGAAACAUAAUUUAAAAAUAACGAGAGGGUGUUUCUUGAUGUUACUAUGAUGUUCUUGUAUUAACGAGAAAGAAAUGCAUGUAAUUGAGAACUUUGACAUGACCACCUUGAAUUCUUGAAAUGUUGACAAAGAGAGUUUCCUUUCAUAUGUUUACAUGAGUUUUAAAGAAUGAGUUUCUUGAAAAGAAUUGUUGAUAUGGUGGUCCUAAAUUCCAUGUUUUGAGAACAGAGAUAUAAUUUGCAAUAAAUGGCUCAAAGAAUGUGAUUUGCAAGUCAAUGGUAUGACGAUACCAUAUAAAUGUAUGCCAUAACAGAGUUAGAGUUUUUAGAGUAUGUUUUCAGAGAAUGCAUGUCUUAAAGAGUUAAAAAUGGGCAUAAAGAGAGAUAGGUGGUUGCCUGAAGAGGGUUUGAGUUCAAGUAACUCUUAACCUAUAACCCUAAUUUGCCGAUCCGGGUAUAUUAUUUUACAUUGACGACGGCCGUGUGGUGUAGCAGAGUCAGAGACUCCAACCCUUGCGGCACACUUGGGUUCGAGGCUUCCCCGCUGAGUCAAUGACGAAUUCCAUAUAGCCCGUGGAAUGUAAGAGUUGUAGAGUAUACCACCUAGCGCAGAAGUAAAACAAAGAGUGUCACAGAGUUCAGAUGAUUUUAUAGAGUCUUUCAGAAAUGCCCAUGAGAUUUCUUACUAUAUGAUAUGUUUAUGAAAUAUUUUAAAUUGCUCUCAUAUACGUUGAAUAUAAAUUAUUAUGUUGAAUUUUAUCUGCGUACCAGUACAAUUGUAUUGAACCCCUACCUCCCAGGUUUGGAGGCUCAGUCUAGGGGUCCAGCUAAUCAGUAGAGUAUCCAGGGAGAAGUGAUCCGUGCAGGGGUGAGCCUUCUUUGUUCCAGAAGGCUGUCAUUUCAGAUUAUGUUAUUCCUUUGUUUUGGUCUACUGGGGGCCUUGUCCCAGCUUUUCAGACAGUUGACUUUAGAUCAUGUAGUAGAGAUUUCGCAAACUGUUCUAGAAGUUGUUUAGUUGAUUUGGGAUUUCAUUCCGUAUGGUUAAACUGAAUCCAGGGUAUGACCAUGUUUCCGUAUUAGAUUAUAAUUCCGCAUUUUCUUUUAUUAUAUAAAUGUUGUGCAUAAUUUCUAGAACAGAUAGAGUAGAAUGUCUGGGCCUUCAUGGUUCGGGAUGUCCGUCGCGGCCAGGCCUUAGUUUGGGUCGUGACAGAAACAAAUGCAUUAGUUAAAAGUAUUGAGUUACAAAGAACAUGAAUGUGAAUUUGACAAAUUCAU